UUGUGGAGGAGGACGCCGAAGGUGGGGCUAAUGACUGGGGUGAAGUCGUAACAAGGUAGCCGUACCGGAAGGUGCGGCUGGAUCACCUCCUAACAGGGAGACAACAAAAUGUUAAAUAUUAAUUUUGUCACCUUAGGUCGAUCGGUAUCUCACAUUCUUAAUUUAUUUAAGGAUUUUAUUUCCUAAGUUUUUCUAGGUCACACCCAUCGCUUUUCCUGGGCCAUUAGCUCAGGUGGUUAGAGCGCACCCCUGAUAAGGGUGAGGUCCCUGGUUCAAGUCCAGGAUGGCCCAUAUCUCUAUGUUGGGGGUAUAGCUCAGUUGGUAGAGCGCCUGCUUUGCAAGCAGGAUGUCAGCGGUUCGAGUCCGCUUACCUCCACUGAUUACCACCUCUUCCAUAAUCUGUAGAAAGGAAAUGUUUUGAGUUGUGAUCAAAUUCUGAACGAAUCUAGCUUCCUAAUGAAAUCAUUAAGAUGCUGGACUCAUUGAAUUAAUUUCAUUGUUUUCAGAGAACCUUGACAACUGCAUAGAUUAUUUUUAAAGACAAUAAGCAUCUUUAUGAUGCAGAUUUAUUAUUUGUGCUAAUGCAUUAAUAACAAUUCUAUUAAGCUGAUGCUUCAAUUAUUGAAGUUAUUGGUCAAGCUACAA
rnacentral:misc_RNA from 1 species